rnacentral:snRNA from 1 species
GCGCAUGCGCAGUGGCAGUAUCGUAGCCAAUGAGGUUUAUUGGAGGCACGAUUAUUGCUAAUUGAAAGA